CAAAACUACGGUCUCAGUUCAGAUUGCAGGCUGCAACUCGCCUGCAUGAAGUUGGAAUUGCUAGUAAUCGCGAAUCAGAAUGUCGCGGUGAAUACGUUCCCGGGCCUUGUACACACCGCCCGUCACACCAUGAGAGUCGAUAACACCCGAAGCCUGUGAGCUAACCUUUUAGGAGGCAGCAGUCGAAGGUGGGGUUGAUGAUUGGGGUGAAGUCGUAACAAGGUACC
rnacentral:rRNA from 1 species